CCGGGUGGUGAAUCCCCCUUAGCGGUGGGGCGACUAGGCAAAACGAGUCGGGUUUGUAAAACGCGGUUCUGUGGUCUAGCGCAGGGUCACCGGGAGGCACCCGGCACCACGACCUCCGUAUCAUCUCUUCCCAGGGCUGUCGAUUGGCGGCCUUUUU
rnacentral:sRNA from 1 species